AUUUGAUAGACAGAAAAAAAGGAAGUUGAGGCAAAGGUCAUGAAGCAAAACCAAAGCUUUGUAACUAGUAGGCCAGGCCCCAGGAUGGAAUCGGAGUCUUUCUUUCUACUGUGUCGCUCUAGUAGUGUUAAGAGGAUGCAGUACUGGUCAGAUCUUUAAUGGGAAUGAUGGUGGUGGUGUUGGGAUUGUUCCAUCUUUUCUUCUCCUCUGUUCCUGUGUAACCCCUUCUUGGUUUUUGUCCCUUUUCCCUCCCCUUUUAUUUCUUUCAGCUCGGAUUCCUUAGCACCACCACUGCUCAGCCAGAACCGAAGGCCCCAAAUCUCGUUGGCAAAUACCGCCAUGUUGACCGUGCCACCGGCCAGGUGCUAACCUGUGACAAGUGUCCAGCAGGAACCUAUGUGUCUGAGCACUGUACCAACACGAGCCUGCGUGUCUGUAGCAGUUGCCCUGUGGGGACCUUUACCAGGCAUGAGAAUGGCAUAGAGAAAUGCCAUGACUGUAGUCAGCCAUGCCCAUGGCCAAUGGUUGAGAAAUUACCUUGUGCUGCCUUGACUGACCGAGAAUGUGCUUGCCCACCUGGCAUGUUCCAGUUUAAUGGUACCUGCGCCCCCCAUACGGUGUGUCCCGUGGGUUGGGGUGUGCGGAAGAAAGGGACAGAGACCGAGGACGUGCGGUGUAAGCAGUGUGCUCGCGGUACCUUCUCUGAUGUGCCUUCUAGUGUGAUGAAAUGCAAAGCAUACACAGACUGUCUGAGUCAGAACCUGGUGGUGAUCAAGCCGGGGACCAAGGAAGCAGACAAUGUCUGUGGCACACUUCCGUCCUCCAGCCCGACCUCACCUGCCCCUGGCACGGCCAUCUUUUCACACCCGGAGCACAUGGAGUCCCAUGAAGUCCCUUCCUCCACUUAUGUUCCCAAAGGCAUGAACUCAACAGAAUCCAACUCUUCUGCCUCUGUUAGACCAAAGGUACCGAGUGGCAUCCAGGAAGGGACAGUCCCUGACAACACAAGCUCAGCGAGGGGUGAGGAAGGCAUGAACAAGACCCUCCCAAGCCUCCAGGUAGUCAACCACCAGCAAGGCCCUCACCACAGACACAUCCUGAAGCUGCUGCCAUCCAUGGAGGCCACUGGGGGUGAGAAAUCCAGCACGCCCAUCAAAGGCCUCAAGAGGGGUCACCCCCGACAGAACUUACACAAGCAUUUUGACAUCAAUGAACAUUUGCCCUGGAUGAUUGUGCUUUUCCUGCUGCUGGUGCUUGUGGUGAUAGUGGUAUGCAGUAUCCGGAAAAGCUCAAGGACUCUGAAAAAGGGGCCCCGGCAGGAUCCCAGCGCCAUUGUGGAAAAGGCAGGGCUGAAGAAAUCCAUAACCCCAACCCAGAACCGGGAGAAGUGGAUCUACUACUGCAAUGGCCAUGGGAUUGACAUCCUGAAACUCGUCGCAGCCCAAGUUGGAAGCCAGUGGAAGGACAUCUACCAGUUUCUGUGCAAUGCCAGUGAGAGAGAAGUGGCUGCUUUCUCCAACGGGUACACGGCCGACCAUGAGCGGGCCUACGCCGCUCUGCAGCACUGGACCAUCCGGGGGCCCGAGGCCAGCCUCGCCCAGUUAAUCAGCGCCCUGCGUCAGCACCGACGCAAUGAUGUCGUGGAGAAGAUUCGGGGACUGAUGGAAGAUACGGCCCAGCUGGAAACUGACAAGCUGGCUCUCCCGAUGAGCCCCGGCCCCCUUAGCCCGAGCCCCAUCCCCAGCCCCAACACAAAACUUGAGAAUUCCACUCUGCUGACGGUGGAGCCUUCCCCGCUGGAUAAGAACAAGGGCUUCUUCGUGGAUGAGUCGGAGCCCCUUCUUCGUUGUGACUCCACAUCCAGCGGCUCCUCCGCGCUGAGCAGGACGGGCUCCUUUAUUACCAAAGAAAAGAAGGACACAGUGUUGCGGCAGGUACGCCUGGACCCCUGUGACUUGCAGCCUAUUUUUGAUGACAUGCUCCACAUUCUGAAUCCUGAGGAGCUGCGGGUGAUUGAAGAGAUUCCUCAGGCUGAGGACAAGCUGGACCGACUGUUUGAGAUUAUCGGAGUCAAGAGCCAGGAAGCCAGUCAGACCCUCUUGGACUCUGUGUAUAGCCAUCUUCCCGACCUAUUGUAGAACCCGAGGGAUACUGCACUCUGGAAAUGACUCAAUGUAGUGGCAGGGUGGUUUUUCGUUGGUUUUGUUUUUGUUUUUCUAGUUUUUUUUUGGGCGUGUGUGUGUGUGUGUGUGUGUGUGUUUAAGAGUAUAUGGCCAGUGUUUUGAGUUCGUUCUUUCUUUUUUUAACCCUUCUAGGAAGUUAGUUUAUAAGCCUUCUCAAGGUGUAACUGUUGAAAAAUACCCACCACUAAAGUUUUUUAGAUCCCAUAUUUUCUCCGUUUUGACUUCUUAUGUAUUUUCAGAAUUGUUCUGUGCACUUUAAAUUCGCUUAAUGAACCACAAAUGCAGUGUGACUUUCCCUGCACACUGGAUUGUGAGGCUCUUCUUAAAAGUAUAAUGGCAUCUUUUGAAUUCUCUAAGCAGUCUUUCAUGUCUCAACAUCCACAUCUGCUUUUUUUUUAAUGAUUACUAUUUUUAUUAUUAUUUGUAAUUUACAAAUUUUCCUAAGGGUUGAAGAAAUGUAAUACCCCGUUGAGUUACUGUAAUACAAUUAGAUUUUGAGUUCUCUUUUUAAUAUGCCUUGGUGUAGAGUUCAUAUUCAUGGCUGAAACUUGACCACACUGUUGCUGAUUGUAUGGUUUUUCACUUGAGCACUGUGUAGAAUGCUUCAUUACUUGUGCUUCUCUUAUGCUAAUAUGCUCUGGGCUGGAGACAGGAAAGCCUCAAGCCAUCAGAACUUGCUAUUUAAGUGGCUUGACAACUGGGCCACCAAAGAACUUGAACUUCAUCUUUUAGGAAUUGAGCUGUUCUGGAACAUACUACUGCACUUUGGAAAGUCACAACUGAGUGCCAGGGGCACCUUUUUCCAUAGGGAAUUUGCCCAGCUUUGCUUUAAAAGAUGUCUUGUUUUUUUAUACACACAUAGUUGGUAGGUCCAGUCUGCCUCAAGGCCUUGGUCUUGGUGGGUCUCCUUCAUUCUUCAAUCACUUUAAUUAAAAAUGGCUGCAGCUAUAAGAACUCUUGUCUGACAUAUUUGCAACUCUGCUCCCAUUUAUAAACCUGCGCUCUCUCUAAUGCUCAGUUGGCAGACUCGAAUGCAAAGGUGGCGUGGACUGCCUUUGUGUGGGCGGGGUUUGUGGGUCGUGGUGAGGGACUGAUAUCAGAAAAAUGCCUUCAAGUGUACUAAUUUAUUAAUAAAUAUUAGGUGUUUGUUAAAUGUAGAGGAGCUUUUAACCAAUUAGAUCAGGCUGCUUUUCAAAGGAGAAAAUGACUCCUACUCUGGGGAAAAGUUGGACAUGCUUCAGUGGUUCUCAACCUUGCAUGUAAAUAAUCACCUGGGAAUGAGCAGUCCUAUAAAGGCAGGUUCCCAGAGAGUUCGAUUCAGAAGGUUUGUGGUGAAGCAGAGAACCAGCAUCUCACACCAUUUUUUCUGGAAACUCAUGUUGGGCUAAGUGCUUGAGAUCCUUGCCACUGUGGACUGCCACAGCACUUGGGAGCUUGUUAAUGCAUAAUUUGAGGCCACUUUGCUAUGCUCCUUAAACUUUAAUGAGCAAAUGAAACACUUGGGGAUCUUGUUAAAAUGCAGAUUCUGUUUCAGUUGUUAGGGGGUGGGUACUUAGGUGACGUGGAUGCUACUGGUCUCUAGAUCACACUGAGGAGCCCAUGACUGUGCUUCGGUUUCAUGCAGAGUAGUGCCAACAUGGGAAAAGACUACACGAAUUCCCAAUGAGAGAAGUAAAUAAUUUCUGACAAUCUGAGGAGAUUUCCAGACUCAGGCAGUCCUGGACUGGUCAAGAUCUACAGCAGUGGUUCUUGAUCCUGGUUGCACAUUGAGAUCAGCAGGGGAGCUUUGGGAAAUCUAAUGCCCAGGCUAAACUCCAUACCACUUAUGCCAGAAUGUAAGUGCCUGGGACCCAGGUAUGAGCAUUUUUUUAAAGCUCCCCAGGAGAUGCCAAUGUGUAGUCAGCUUGGACAGCCACUGAUUUGAGAGUUUGUGAAGAGAGUGCUUCUCAAUCCUCACCCCAGAUCUGAUGGAUAAAUCUUUACAGGGAGUUAACCUGGAAAUCUGCAAUUGUGAUUUUGCUAUACAUAGUCCCACGCAACUCUGCAGACUUGCUUUAGGACCCAUAACCCUACUGUAAAAUUCUAUAUAACUGUUAAGAAUUGAUACACUACCAAGCAUGGAUGGGGCAACAUCUUAAAGCUUCAUUGCACUGAUGAAUAAUUGAUUGAUGCAACUGAUCAAUUCUUCAUGGCUUUGAGCGUUAUGUAUAAGGUAUGAUUAACCAAGAACGUUUGGGAUGUGAUGUUAUUCUGAUUUGUGUUUCUAUAUAUAUUGGAUUGAAGGUUUGCCAAUUUUCAAAAAUAAAGUAAG